UACGUAGGGGGCAAGCGUUAUCCGGAUUUACUGGGUGUAAAGGGAGCGUAGACGGUAAUGUAAGUCUGAUGUGAAAGCCCGGGGCUCAACCCCGGGACUGCAUUGGAAACUAUGUAACUAGAGUACCGGAGAGGUAAGCGGAAUUCCUAGUGUAGCGGUGAAAUGCAUAGAUAUCACACAGAACACCGAUUGCGAAGGCAUCUCACGAAUCCGCGAUUGACGCUGAUGCACGAAAGCGUGGGUAUCAAACAGG
rnacentral:rRNA from 1 species